UGAGCAAUCUGCCCUUCUCAUCGGAAUAAGCGUUGGAAACGACGUCUAAUGCCGAAUACGACCUCCUUUCGCAUGAUCGGAGGUGGAAAGUUCCGGCGGAGAAGGAUGAGCUCGCGGCCUGUCAGCUAGUUGGUGUGGGUAAUGGCCCACCAAGGCGACGACGGGUAGCCGGCCUGAGAGGGUGACCGGCCACACUGGGACUGAGACACGGCCCAGACCGCCUACGGGAGGNAGCG
rnacentral:rRNA from 1 species